GGUCGCUUGCAUCAUGAUUUACAUUUGAGUGAGUGGCGAACUGGUGAGUAACACGUGGGAAACCUGCCCAGAAGCGGGGGAUAACACCUGGAAACAGAUGCUAAUACCGCAUAACAACUUGGACCGCAGGUCCGAGCUUGAAAGAUGGCUUCGGCUAUCACUUUUGGAUGGUCCCGCGGCGUAUUAGCUAGAUGGUGGGGUAACGGCUCACCAUGGCAAUGAUACGUAGCCGACCUGAGAGGGUAAUCGGCCACAUUGGGACUGAGACACGGCCCAAACUCCUACGGGAGGCAGCAGUAGGGAAUCUUCCACAAUGGACGAAAGUCUGAUGGAGCAACGCCGCGUGAGUGAAGAAGGGUUUCGGCUCGUAAAACUCUGUUGUUAAAGAAGAACAUAUCUGAGAGUAACUGUUCAGGUAUUGACGGUAUUUAACCAGAAAGCCACGGCUAACUACGUGCCAGCAGCCGCGGUAAUACGUAGGUGGCAAGCGUUGUCCGGAUUUAUUGGGCGUAAAGCGAGCGCAGGCGGUUUUUUAAGUCUGAUGUGAAAGCCUUCGGCUCAACCGAAGAAGUGCAUCGGAAACUGGGAAACUUGAGUGCAGAAGAGGACAGUGGAACUCCAUGUGUAGCGGUGAAAUGCGUAGAUAUAUGGAAGAACACCAGUGGCGAAGGCGGCUGUCUGGUCUGUAACUGACGCUGAGGCUCGAAAGUAUGGGUAGCAAACAGGAUUAGAUACCCUGGUAGUCCAUACCGUAAACGAUGAAUGCUAAGUGUUGGAGGGUUUCCGCCCUUCAGUGCUGCAGCUAACGCAUUAAGCAUUCCGCCUGGGGAGUACGGCCGCAAGGCUGAAACUCAAAGGAAUUGACGGGGGCCCGCACAAGCGGUGGAGCAUGUGGUUUAAUUCGAAGCUACGCGAAGAACCUUACCAGGUCUUGACAUACUAUGCAAAUCUAAGAAGAUUAGACGUUCCCUUCGGGGACAUGGAUACAGGUGGGUGCAUGGGUUGUCGUCAGCUCGUGUCGUG
rnacentral:rRNA from 1 species